rnacentral:ncRNA from 1 species
GUCUUAUCAAGAGAGGUGGAGGGACUGGCCCUGUGAAGCCCGGCAACCAGUAUUUAUUUAUAAAUACAAUGGUGCCAAUUCCAACAGCGUAAGCUGGGAGAUGAGAA